GGGGUCGGCCUCGGGGCGGUUGUGCAAGCGGCGGUGAUGUCAUCGCGGCUCUGCUCCUUAUAGAACGUCCUAGAAGGGACUGUGCUCGCGCUGCUCUGGCGCGGUCUCCAGAAGGGCCUAGAAGCUGCUGCGCUUCCCCCCCCUUCCCCCUCCCCCCUCUUCCCGCCUUCCAAAGAGCCCAGAAGCGGGGUGUGCGCUGGGAGCCGCCCCGUCUUCUCUCAGAACUGUGUGUGCGCCGGGCGGCUCCCACUGAGCCGGCUGUGCAGAUUUAGGGAUAUACUGAAUGUUAAGCAUGUGAAGACCAGUGCAAGGUUUUACUUGUGCCCAGGAUCGCAGGCCUUCAUACGGUCUGAUGUCAACAUGACUGAGGUUACUAAAAAAAAAAUCAUUUCAGAUGCUGAAUGGCCAGGUUAUCUACAUCUCCACGUAAUCUGGAUUGGAUAUGUCUGGAAUACUCAGGGAGAAUCACUGAGAGCAAGCUGCCCAGAACCACUAAUAGCUCCUCUGAAAGGAACCCACUGAUGGCUGUCAUCCCUUCUCAAUUACACAAAGUGGAUCACAACUGUGUCCAAGAAAUAAACUUAAAACUAAACCUUCUGCUGAAGCAGUGGAGAUAGAUGAACAGACUCUGCUUUGUCACACAUCAUCUCAGCUUGAAGUGCACUUGAAGAACAGAAAAGAAGGAUACAUCUGUUUGUGAAUAGCUGAAGUGCAUUAUAGGACUGUUCAUAUUUGUGAAUGCAGAUGAAGAUAGUAGUACCAUAACUUGCAAGAUGAAUCCAUUAAAACAGAAGAAAAGCUUAGAAACUAGUUAAUCUAUACUAACAAGGAUUCCUCCUUGGUGCUUGCACUAUUGCUACUGUGACAAAGAGAGAAGGGAAUGUGGGUCUCUUUGUAUGUCCCACCACUCACCUAAGAUCUGGAACAUGUGAGUUCAGCAUGAAGUCUGUCUGGUUUGCAAUGCAGUUAGAAUUCACCAGAUGGGGCUAAUACAGCAAAUAUAAAUAUUCUCUAUAGAAGUCAAGUCAUACUUGAAGAAACAUAUGUAGAGACAUGAGAUAACAAUAUAUACUUAUAUACAUGGCACAGCAGUUAUAACUUUCCAAAAGUCUUUUUUAAAAAAUGUUAAUCUUCAUAGUGAAUUCAUUAUUUAAAAUAGAUAUUUUAUUUUGAUAAUUCUUAAUAUUUGAUUUUUUUAAAACAAAUUAACUAUUUCAGCAAUUCACCACCACCAAUAUCUGUCUCAGGAAAUAUGUAGGUUUCUUAUUUAUAUAUAUAUAUAUAUAUAUAUAUAUAUAUAUAAAUCUCUAAACAACUGUAAAGCUGCAAAUAUAAGAAGGGAAGUUCAAGCUUAUAAAUGCAUAUGGCUUUCCUUUAUGAUAUGGUUACAUGACUGAUCUUGUCUCCUAAGUCCAUCUCUCAAAUUCAGCUUCAUAUGGAGACUCUGAACAUACUUAGACAUCACAGUAAAGUUUUAAUUAGCUUAUUAAAAAAAAAAAGUAAAUUCCUGCAUGCACUGUAUCUCCAAAAUGACCUUAUCUAUGUCAAAUCAUCAAAUCAGAAAGUUAUUAUUGAAAAUUGAAGUAAUUGCCUAUGUCAGAUGGACAUUCUUUAUAUUCUGCCAUGUCUUUAAUUAGUGAUUCUAUUGCUUUGCCAUCAAUGGCAACGGAAAUACAUUAAAAUCUGGUAUGUAU
rnacentral:lncRNA from 7 species